GAUGAACGCUGACAGAAUGCUUAACACAUGCAAGUGGAGCGACGAACCGGGCUUCGGCCCGGGGCAAAGCCGCGAACGGGUGAGUAUCACGUGGGUAACCUGCCCCAAUGACCGGGAUAACCCGAGGAAACUCGAGCUAAUACCGGAUGUGCUCUCCGCACUACGGGCGGUGAGAAAAGGAAGCUUCGGCCUCCGCAUUGGGAAGGGCCCGCGGCCCAUUAGCUUGUUGGUGAGGUAACGGCUCACCAAGGCUGCGAUGGGUAGCUGGUCUGAGAGGACGAUCAGCCACACUGGGACUGAGACACGGCCCAGACUCCUACGGGAGGCAGCAGUGGGGAAUCUUGCGCAAUGCGCGAAAGCGUGACGCAGCAACGCCGCGUGAGGGAAGAAGGCCUUCGGGUUGUAAACCUCUUUCAGGAGGGACGAAGGUUCAGGCGCGAAUAGCGUCCUGGACUGACGGUACCUCCAGAAGAAGGCCCGGCUAACUACGUGCCAGCCGCCGCGGUAAAAC
rnacentral:rRNA from 1 species